AGAAAAAAAUAAAGUAAAAGGAAACUGAUAUACUCAGCAAAUCGUGAUUUCAAUUUUCAGUGUUGGAAUAACCCGAAGUUGGAUACAUGGUGAUGUCACUCAAAAAGCAAAGAAAUAUGGAAGACCAGAUUGAGGGCAGAAAAACAGACAAUCUGCAGUGUUUCCUCAUUACUUUCUAAAGCAAGUACUAAUUGGGUGAAGAAACAGCUGUUUCCUAUUCUCUGUGACUCUCAUAAUACGCUCACUCUUUGGGAAGAUAAUCUUGGACCCACUGACUCUCUAUACCACGUGUGAAUCAUGGCGCUAGGUCGGAAUCUGAUCUUCCACCAAAUGAUUUUCCUGCGUAAAAUUCGGACACACUGAAUCUUGAUAACACCCUUUUUAAAAUAAAACUUGUAUUCGUUAUUGGGAGAUUUUAUGAGUGAAAUUAAAGUUUGGAUCCAUCCAGUCUCUCUCUCUCAGUCCUCUGGAACAUGAAUGACUGUGAUGAGCAGAAUCCUCAUGCUAACUGGCAAGGCAUGAACAAGGUGAGUA